GAUGAACGCUAGCGGCGGGCCUAAUACAUGCCAGUCGAACGGGAAAGGUGGCAACACCUUGAGAGUGGCGUACGGGUGCGUAACGCGUAUACAACCUGCCUGUUACACGGGGAUAGCCUUGCGAAAGCGAGAUUAAUACCCGAUGGUACUAUUGAGCGGCAUCGCUUGGUAGUUAAAGCUGAGGCGGUAACAGAGGGGUAUGCGUCCCAUUAGCUAGUUGGUAGUGUAACGGACUACCAAGGCGACGAUGGGUAGGGGUUCUGAGAGGAUGAUCCCCCACACUGGUACUGAGAUACGGACCAGACUCCUACGGGAGGCAGCAGUAGGGAAUAUUGGGCAAUGGACGGAAGUCUGACCCAGCCACGCCGCGUGCAGGAAGAAGGUCCUCUGGAUUGUAAACUGCUUUUCUUGGGGAAGAAAACCCUUCUGCGGAAGGAAUUGACGGUACUCAAGGAAUAAGCAUCGGCUAACUCCGUG
rnacentral:rRNA from 1 species